GGGUCGUUAGCUCAGUUGGUAGAGCAGUUGUCUUUUAAUCAAUUGGUCGCAGGUUCGAAUCCUGCACGACCCACCA
rnacentral:tRNA from 3 species